CUCCUCUCAGGGUCGCACCUGGAGAGUUUCCAGUCCUCUACCAGUCUCGACUAUGGGAGGGAGAGCCAAGCAGAGACAUACCCAUUGCAUUCUUUGCUUGGACAGUGGCUAGUGAGUGGAAGGCAAUCUGCUAAAAGU